CUCAAUUCUAAAUUUAACUAAUGUAAAUGAAAAAUUAAAAUUUCAACAUCAAUCCAACCCAAAUUCUCAAAUAUAAGUACAAAAUACACAAGUCCAUAAAAAAACCACAAACUAGCAUCUAAAGAUAACAAUUACCGAUUCAUAUUAUCAUUCAACACAAGUUUGAAAAGAAGAACUUUGUUUCAUUCACCACCAUUAGCACCUAUCCAAGACGAUUCCUACAAUAAUAAUUAGGAUUAAUAUUUUCUAAAGAAUAAUACAUUUUUAAUACUAAUCAGAAGAACAAAAUUAUUAUAAUGAAAUAGUCUGUGCAUUAAGUUAAAGAAUAAUAAUCCAUACAAAAUUAUAAUAAGCAUAUAAUUAUCCAUGCAUUAGGUUAAAGCUUGUUAGAACUUACGCACGUUAUAACCUGCGCACGUGUUUUCACUUUACAUAUUUACUUUAUAUAUUUUUAGAUUUAAAUUUUUUUAACUAAAAUUAAAUUAAAAAUAUUUAAAAAAGUUGCAGGUAUCCGAUGGAUAUUUGGCUAACAUCAAACCCAUCUACAACUUAGUGCGGGUUUCAAUUUAUAAUACCAAACUCGUCCACAACCCAUAAAAUUACCCACAUUGGGAGGGUUUUAGCAGGCGAGUUUGAGCGAAUUUGCGGGUUUGCGCGUACCAUUGCCAUCUUUACAGAUAUACAGUUUUUUUCACGGUUAUUGAAUUUUUGCUCACUUUCUAUAAAUAUUGGUUGUGUUGGUGAGGAAAAAAAAUGAGACUAUAAAUAAGACGACUUACCCCUAAAUAAAAUUAGUGAAAUCUACAAAUAUAGUCAGAAUGUUAUUUGUAUUUAGCUAAUCUUCUAUUUUUCGUGCAACAAGAAGGCCAGACUUAUGGAUAUACAAGUCAUCCCGCAAGGGGGGAGUCCCAUAAGGGUGAGUUAAACGAGAUUAUAAAUAAGAGCACUAACUCCUUAAUAAAGGACCAAACUCACUCGCGCGCAUACAACACAAGACUUCACCCCGUGAGGGAGUCUCCACUAAGGGUGAGAUAAACGAGACUAUAAAUAAUAGCACUAACCCCUUAAUAAAAUUAAUGAAAUCUGUAAAUUUUUCAUGCAAGAAAGAGGCGAAGGGCGCUCGUACACAUACAACUUGAGAUGUCACCUUGUGUGGAAAGUCCCCCCUAAGGAUAAGUUAAACAAGACUAUAAAUUAGGAAUGGCAAAAGGUCGGGUCGGCUCGGGCUCGGGCUUGGCCAAGCCCUACCCGACCUGAUAAAAAAAAAAUUGAAACCCGAUCCUAAAAAAACCCGAACACUAUUUAGUUAGGGUCGGGUCCGACCCAACCCGACCCUACCGAAAUAGUUAACCCUCCCAUUUCCCACCACCAUUUCAACCAAUUCGGCAAUUCCUCAACCAUUUCAAACACAAUUCAAUUCCACUUUCCACAAUCAUUUCAGCCCCAUACACAAAUCAAUUCCAAAAUCCAACAUGAAAAACACACAAUGUAAUUCCACAACCAUUUUAGCCAUACACAAUUCAAUUUAACAACCCAACAUAAAAAAUAAAAAUAAAAAAACUCGUCUUAUACAAAUAAAAAGUCAUAAUUCAUAAAAACUCAUAAAAACACACAAUUUAGUUUUUUUUUUUAAUAGGGUCAGGUCGGGUCGGCUUUAAGCUCGACCCUAACCCCAAUUUGUUUGAGCCUUAAAAUUUUGACCCUAACCUAAAAAAUUCGGGUCAAAACCCUAAAAAUUAGGGUCGGGUCAAUCGGGCCAAAAAUAGGGUCGGACUAAAUUGUCAAGCCUACUAUAAAUAAGAGCAUUGACUUCUUUCUAAAAUGAUUGAAAUCUACAAAAAUUUUCAUGCAAGAAAUAGGUCAAAUCGUUUGUGCACAUUCACAUCACCCCCAACUGAGAGACGUGGGGUUGUGGGUCACUCUUUGGAUUUGGGGGGGGGGGGGGGGACUCCCGCCAUGGGGUGAGUUAAACGAGACUAUAAAUAAAAGCAUUAACUCCUCAAUAAAAUUAUUGAAAUCUACAAAUUCUCUAUGCAAAAAAAAAAAAAAAGGCGAAACUCGCUUGCGCACAUACACGUUAUCUUUGUAGGGGGGUGUUAGUUAUCUCGAGCCAAGGUAACAUAUUUCAAGAAUGAACGCCUCCGAGCUUGAUUUCGUGCACGGAGGCCUCAUCUUAAUGGAUUUGUUACCACACUAUAUUUGGUUUAUACACACACACACACUAAAAUGUGCUCUCUUAUCUAAGCAAAAUAGAAUAUUGGUACUUUAAAAUACCAACUCAAAUCUCUAACAUUCUAGACAUUUUUUUUUUUGUAAACGCAAAAUAGACUCCAAUAAUUUCAUAGAAUUUUUUGUUCUUUGUUUCUCCAAUCAAGGUUCAAACGUUAUCAAAUUGUAGUCUUUGUAAAGAAAACAAACAACAACAUUAGGCACCAUUGGCAAAUGUUUGAUGUUUGGCUACUGUUGACAACCUUACACCUCCGAUCACUACCACCAACCACAAUAAAAUCAAGCUCCAGCUCGCCUACAAUUAAAUUUUUUAGAAUCGAGAUGAGAAUUUCAGCGAUACCAAAAGUAAUUUAAACUGUUUGUAAAAUGUCAGCAAUGAUUGAUAGUGGCUCUUUUUACCUUUUUUUAUUAAUAACAAAAAUUUAUUAUUAUUGUUUUUAGCUAUAAUUAGUGACGUCCUAAUCACUUCCCACCCAUAUUAGAGGUUGAAAAUCUCAAACCUCUUGUUUGCACUCAAGAUUUAACCAUCUGUAUUAGUUAGCACCUCUCUUCGUAUUAAAAUACACUACAAUGAAUAUUUCAAUGAGUGUACAAUCUAAUAUGGUAUGUACGGCGUCCCAAACACACCCCGAAAACAGCAAAAAUGAUAAUAAUAAUUAUAACAUUUGCCCUUUAACAUAAACGAUCAGUCGUUUAUUGUUUCAACCAAUUAGGAUUGAGACUUGAAUUAAACGUGUAGGGUUAGUUUUGAAUGCCUAUAGUUGAGGUACGAAAAAGUGCAGCUAUAGAAACUAAUGGGGUUAUUAUAUUUUUAUUAUAGAAAUUAUUGAUAAAUAACUUUUGGAUACAAUACGUAUUACACUCCAACAUUUUACUAAUAAAGAAUUAUAAUAUUGUACAUUUUAUUACUUUUUAGUCGUGACUGUUAAUUGAUCGUCGACAUCUUGUUGACGUAAUAAGAUUGAAAGUAUCUUUAUACAUAAAAUAAAACCAAAAUUAUAAUUUCAUUAAACAUAAAGGAUAAAUUAUCAAUAGAAACACAACACAGUUGGCAUUGACCUCAAGAAAACGUUAACAUAAUUUGUAUUAAUAUUUUGUAAAUUCAUUAAUAUUCUCUGAAUAUUUUUUUUUUCAAAUUAAGUGCAAAAUUGGUAGAUUAAAGACCAACAAAUAUUCUCUGAAUUUUUUUUCAAAUUAAGCGCCAACAGUAAAAUCAUUUAAAAUUGCUUUCAGAAAGGGGUGUACCUGGAUAUGGGUAAAGUGCAUUUAGCCGUUUAGCCCAUUUCGCUUUUGCAGACGAGAGGAAAAGGCUGGCCCCAUUUUGUUUCCUGUAGUUUUAGCGCGAGAAGCCAAAUUC
rnacentral:lncRNA from 1 species